rnacentral:rRNA from 1 species
ACGGGAGGCAGCAGUGGGGAAUAUUGGGCAAUGGGCGAAAGCCUGACCCAGCGACGCCGCGUGAAGGAAGAAGGUCUUCGGAUUGUAAACUUCUUUUAUAUGGGACGAAACAAAUGACGGUACCAUAUGAAUAAGCCACGGCUAACUACGUGCCAGCAGCCGCGGUAAUACGUAGGUGGCGAGCGUUAUCCGGAUUUACUGGGUGUAAAGGGUGUGUAGGCGGGAUUGCAAGUCAGAUGUGAAAACUAUGGGCUUAACUCAUAGCCUGCAUUUGAAACUGUAGUUCUUGAGGGUCGGAGGGGUUACUGGAAUUCCUAGUGUAGCGGUGAAAUGCGUAGAUAUUAGGAGGAACACCAGUGGCGAAGGCGGAUUGCUGGACGAUAACUGACGGUGAGGCGCGAAAGCGUGGGGAGCAAACAGGAUUAGAUACCCUGGUA